rnacentral:rRNA from 1 species
AGAACGAACGCUGGCGGCAGGCCUAAUACAUGCAAGUCGAACGCACUCUUCGGAGUGAGUGGCAGACGGGUGAGUAACGCGUGGGAACCUUCCCAAUGGUACGGAAUAACUCCGGGAAACCGGUGCUAAUACCGUAUAAGCCCCUCGGGGGAAAGAUUUAUCGCCAUUGGAUGGGCCCGCGUCGGAUUAGCUAGUUGGUGAGGUAAUGGCUCACCAAGGCUACGAUCCGUAGCUGGUCUGAGAGGAUGAUCAGCCACACUGGGACUGAGACACGGCCCAGACUCCUACAGGAGGCAGCAGUAGGGAAUCUUGGACAAUGGGCGAAAGCCUGAUCCAGCCAUGCCGCGUGAGUGAAGAAGGCCUUAGGGUUGUAAAGCUCUUUUGGCGGGAACGAUAAUGACGGUACCCGCAGAAUAAGCCCGGCUAACUUCGUGCCAGCAGCCGC